rnacentral:rRNA from 1 species
UACGGAGGGGGCUAGCGUUGUUCGGAAUUACUGGGCGUAAAGAGCUCGUAGGCGGUUUGUCGCGUCUGCUGUGAAAACGCGAGGCUCAACCUCGCGCCUGCAGUGGGUACGGGCAGACUAGAGUGCGGUAGGGGAGAUUGGAAUUCCUGGUGUAGCGGUGGAAUGCGCAGAUAUCAGGAGGAACACCGGUGGCGAAGGCGGGUCUCUGGGCCGAUACUGACGCUGAGGAGCGAAAGCGUGGGGAGCGAACAGG